rnacentral:rRNA from 1 species
AUACGGAGGAUCCGAGCGUUAUCCGGAUUUAUUGGGUUUAAAGGGUGCGCAGGCGGCCAUUUAAGUCAGCGGUUAAAUCGUGGGGCUCAACCCCAUUCUGCCGUUGAUACUGGGUGGCUUGAUUGCGGUCGAGGUUGGCGGAAUUCGUUGUGUAGCGGUGAAAUGCAUAGAUAUGACGAAGAACACCGAUUGCGUAGGCAGCUGACCAGACCGCAAAUGACGCUCAUGCACGAAAGUGCGGUGAUCGAACAGGAUUAGAUACCCUGGUAGUCCGCAGAGUAAACGAUGAAUACUUGUUUUCGGCGAUAUAAUGUCGGAGGCAAAGCGAAAGCGAUAAGUAUUCCACCUGGGGAGUACGCCGGCAACGGUGAAACUCAAAUGAAUUGACGGGG